GGAUAGCUCAGUGGGUACAGCAUGAGACUCUUAAUCUCAGGGUCAUGGGUUUGAACCCCACCUUAGGCA